AGUGAACGCUGGCGGUAGGCCUAACACAUGCCAGUCGAACGGCAGCACAGUAAGAGCUUGCUCUUACGGGUGGCGAGUGGCGGACGGGUGAGGAAUACAUCGGAAUCUACUUUUUCGUGGGGGAUAACGUAGGGAAACUUACGCUAAUACCGCAUACGACCUACGGGUGAAAGCAGGGGAUCUUCGGACCUUGCGCGAUUGAAUGAGCCGAUGUCGGAUUAGCUAGUUGGCGGGGUAAAGGCCCACCAAGGCGACGAUCCGUAGCUGGUCUGAGAGGAUGAUCAGCCACAAUGGAAAGGGGAAACGGGCAAAACUCCUACGGGGGGAAGAGGUGGGGAAAUUUGACAAAUGGGGGCAGGCCUGAUCCAGCCUUACCGGGGGGGGGAAAAAGGCCUUCGGGUUGUAAAGCCCUUUUGUUGGGAAAAAAAAGCAGCAGGUUAAUCCCCCGCUUUUCUGGCGGUACCCAAAGAAUAAGCACCGGCUAACUUCGU
rnacentral:rRNA from 1 species